CCCUCUGUCACUUAAUUAUCAACAUGACUUUGCAUAAACAUACAUACCGACAUUCUUAAGCCAAGUGGCGUUUUAUCUGUACACAUUUUGAGCUAUUUGUGUGUUAUGUCUACACUGAAUACAGCGGAUGUAAGCAUAC